rnacentral:rRNA from 1 species
ACGAACGCUGGCGGCGUGGAUAAGACAUGCAAGUCGAACGGGAGAAUUGCUAGCUUGCUAAUAAUUCUCUAGUGGCGCACGGGUGAGUAACACGUGAGUAACCUGCCUCUUAGUGGGGGAUAGCCCUGGGAAACCGGGAUUAAUACCGCAUACGAUUGAAAGAUCAAAGCAGCAAUGCGCUAGGAGAUGGGCUCGCGGCCUAUUAGUUAGUUGGUGAGGUAACGGCUCACCAAGGCGAUGACGGGUAGCCGGUCUGAGAGGAUGUCCGGCCACACUGGAACUGAGACACGGUCCAGACACCUACGGGUGGCAGCAGUCGAGAAUCAUUCACAAUGGGGGCAACCCUGAUGGUGCGACGCCGCGUGGGGGAAUGAAGGUCUUCGGAUUGUAAACCCCUGUCAUGUGGGAGCAAAUUAAAAAGAUAGUACCACAAGAGGAAGAGACGGCUAACUCUGUGCCAGCAGCCGCGGUAAUACAGAGGUCUCAAGCGUUGUUCGGAAUCACUGGGCGUAAAGCGUGCGUAGGCUGUUUCGUAAGUCGUGUGUGAAAGGCAGGGGCUCAACCCCUGGAUUGCACAUGAUACUGCGAGACUAGAGUAAUGGAGGGGGAACCGGAAUUCUCGGUGUAGCAGUGAAAUGCGUAGAUAUCGAGAGGAACACUCGUGGCGAAGGCGGGUUCCUGGACAUUAGCUGACGCUGAGGCACGAAGGCCAGGGGAGCGAAAGGGAUUAGAUACCCCUGUAGUCCUGGCAGUAAACGGUGCACGCUUGGUGUGCGGGGAAUCGACCCCCUGCGUGCCGGAGCUAACGCGUUAAGCGUGCCGCCUGGGGAGUACGGUCGCAAGAUUAAAACUCAAAGAAAUUGACGGGGACCCGCACAAGCGGUGGAGUAUGUGGCUUAAUUCGAUGCAACGCGAAGAACCUUACCUGGGCUUGACAUGUAAUGAACAACAUGUGAAAGCAUGCGACUCUUCGGAGGCGUUACACAGGUGCUGCAUGGCCGUCGUCAGCUCGUGUCGUGAGAUGUUUGGUUAAGUCCAGCAACGAGCGCAACCCCUGUUGCCAGUUACCAGCACGUCAAGGUGGGGACUCUGGCGAGACUGCCCAGAUCAACUGGGAGGAAGGUGGGGACGACGUCAGGUCAGUAUGGCCCUUAUGCCCAGGGCUGCACACGUACUACAAUGCCCAGUACAGAGGGGGCCGAAGCCGCGAGGCGGAGGAAAUCCUGAAAACUGGGCCCAGUUCGGACUGUAGGCUGCAACCCGCCUACACGAAGCCGGAAUCGCUAGUAAUGGCGCAUCAGCUACGGCGCCGUGAAUACGUUCCCGGGUCUUGUACACACCGCCCGUCACAUCAUGGAAGCCGGUCGCACCCGAAGUAUCUGAAGCCAACCGCAAGGAGGCAGGGUCCUAAGGUGAGACUGGUAACUGGGAUG